GAGAUAACUCCUACGGGAGGCAGCAGUGGGGAAUUUUGGACAAUGGGGGCAACCCUGAUCCAGCAAUGCCGCGUGAGUGAAGAAGGCCUUCGGGUUGUAAAGCUCUUUUGUCAGGGAAGAAACGGUAGUAGCUAAUAUCUAUUACUAAUGACGGUACCUGAAGAAUAAGCACCGGCUAACUACGUGCCAGCAGCCGCGGUAAUACGUAGGGUGCAAACGUUAAUCGGAAUUACUGGGCGUAAAGCGUGCGCAGGCGGUUGUGUAAGUCAGAUGUGAAAUCCCCGGGCUCAACCUGGGAAUUGCAUUUGAGACUGAACGGCUAGAGUGUGUCAGAGUGGGGUAGAAUGCCACGUGUAGCAGUGAAAUGCGUAGAUAUGUGGAGGAAUACCGAUGGCGAAGGCAGCCCCCUGUUAUAACACUGACGCUCAUGCACGAAAGCGUGGGGAGCAAACGGGAUUAGAUACCCCAGUAGUCCUCCACU
rnacentral:rRNA from 1 species